rnacentral:rRNA from 1 species
GAGUGAGCGGCAACAGCUCAAAUUUGAAAGCUAGCCUUCGGGUUCGCAUUGUAAUUUGUAGAGGAUGAUUUGGGGAAGCCGCCUGUCUAAGUUCCUUGGAACAGGACGUCAUAGAGGGUGAGAAUCCCGUAUGUGACAGGAAAUGGCACCCUAUGUAAAUCUCCUUCGACGAGUCGAGUUGUUUGGGAAUGCAGCUCUAAAUGGGAGGUAAAUUUCUUCUAAAGCUAAAUAUUGGCGAGAGACCGAUAGCGCACAAGUAGAGUGAUCGAAAGAUGAAAAGCACUUUGGAAAGAGAGUUAAAAAGCACGUGAAAUUGUUGAAAGGGAAGCGCUUGCAAUCAGACUUGUUUAAACUGUUCGGCCGGUCUUCUGACCGGUUUACUCAGUUUGGACAGGCCAGCAUCAGUUUCGGCGGCCGGAUAAAGGCUCUGGGAAUGUGGCCUCCACUUCGGUGGAGGUGUUAUAGCCCAGGGUGUAAUACGGCCAGCCGGGACUGAGGUCCGCGCUUCGGCUAGGAUGCUGGCGUAAUGGUUGUAAGCGACCCG